rnacentral:lncRNA from 1 species
AUAGUUUAAGUUUGGAAGAUUAAUCUAUAUAUAUAAAUUAUGUAUAUUGUUUAAAAAAUAAUUUAAGAUAUUAUAUAUUGAGUAACUAAAUAAAAGCUGAAUUUCUUAUCUUGAAAAUCAAAUAUUUAUAUUUUUGUCUUCACGUUAGACUCACCAAUCCAUCAUAGUGUGAGGUUGAUGUUGAUGUUAUAAUGAGUUUUAUAGGGACUUUCUUGAUGUAAAACUAUACAUU